CCCAGUGCCAAUGAGAGUACUACUGGAAGAGGCGUGAACAGGUGUGCAUCCGAAUCGUGUGGAGAGCUUCUACAAAAUCCACAUGCUGAGACCUCUCCAAAUAAAAAUAAAUUCCUACUUAGAAGAGUACAUUUACCUCUAGUCUGAAAUUUGCUGGUGAUCCUUCACGCACAGGUUCCUGAGUACCAAGAGCAUGGGCCAGGUUAACAGAGCUCACAAAAUGAGGUGAAGAGCAACAAGCCAGGGAGCAACCAAAACCUGAGAGGGAUUGAUUCAAUUUUAAAUAUGCUGCAGGAGUCCUGCCCAGUGCCAAUGAGAGUACUACUGGAAGAGGCGUGAA